UAUGGUCACAUCAUGUUGAAGCACCAGUUUCUGUAUGGUCACUGAAGUUAAGCAAUGUUGAGCCUGGUCAGUACCUAGAUGAGUGACUGCUUGAGAAUAUCAGGUGCUGUAAG